rnacentral:misc_RNA from 1 species
ACUCGUGAAUUUGUUUGAAUACAUAGGGAUGGCACGRGUGUUUUGGCACCACGACCUCCCUUUGGGUAGGAGGGGGUGCGUCCCCCUCUUGCCUGAACACAAACCCCGGCGUUCAAUGCGCCAAGGAACUAAAAUUCGAUCAAUGCGCCCCGUCGGCCCGGAGACGGUGCUCUGGCGGUGGUGCCUUGUCACAUGAUACAGAAUGACUCUCGGCAACGGAUAUCUAGGCUCUUGCAUCGAUGAAGAACGUAGCGAAAUGCGAUACUUGGUGUGAAUUGCAGAAUCCCGUGAACCAUCGAGUCUUUGAACGCAAGUUGCGCCCGAAGCCAUCAGGUUGAGGGCACGUCUGCCUGGGCGUCACAUAUCGUUGCCCAAUGCCUAUUGCAGUGCAAUAGGAAUUUCUAGGGCGAAUGAUGGCUUCCCGUGAGCGUUGUUGCCUCGCGGUUGGUUGAAAAUCGAGUCCUUGGUAGGGUGUGCC